AUACACCUGGCAGGGGAGAUACCAUGAUCAUGAAGGUUUUCCCAGGCAAGGCUUAUCCAUUGCACUCCAGAUGUGCUGACCCCUGUGAUUUCCCCAAAUGCAGGAAACUCAACUGCAUAAUUUGUGGUAGUGGGGGACUGCAUUCAUGCUCUACCCUG